rnacentral:lncRNA from 1 species
UAAUGAAAUACCACCUAGGGAUAGAGAGGUAGGACGAUCAACUGUUUUUGCUUCUGUUCGGUAAUGUGUUGCUAGUUGCUAGGGGAGGCUAGGGAUAGCAAGCCAGUAAUUAGUAAUAGGCUCUUCUCGCCGAGGGAUCGGGUUAAGGGUAGGCCAAGAAAGUUUGCAUAACAAUUAGAUAACAAAGCAAUUUAAACAAGAGGAGCAGAUAAGAGAGGGCGGAUAAGAUGAAAUUGUAAACCUCCAACAACUCCAUUCAUCCAUAGUCUUUUUCUUGUCAACUGAAUCAAACGCAUUGCAUGUUUAUUUUCUGUCUUUGCAUUCCAAACAAUUAAUUUUUCUCUACAAAUCUUACGAUUUCGAUUCGCACGAAUGAUAAGGUCUUUCGAGUCUCUUGGGAAGAACGAUAUCGGGCAUUACCGAUUAUAUUACUUGAAGGAUCUGGUACACUUGCUAGUGAGUCAACAAGUUUUUGGUGUCGUUGCCGGGGACUCGAGGUUUAACUUUUUCAAGUAGUGUGAAUUGAUUUAAUUUGAGUUCACUCUAUGUUCGUUUUCAUUUUUGUUCUAAUAAAUGUUCUCUAGGGUUUUGGGCCUAAUGUUUGCAGAAUGCAGUUUGGACAAGAAUUUGAUUAUAUGGGCACUCAAUCCUACCAAAAUAAUUUCAACCACUGGUGGGAACCCCACUCGUACAUGG